UUCGCAAGUUAGAGGUUAACCUAAAGUUUAGAACUUAUCGAAACUAUUUCCAAAUAUUUUAAAUUUCGUAAUGAUAAAAAGACGGAUGGAAUUUCAUGCGUAUGACAGCUCUUCCGACCAAACGGAAGAGUAAAAGGGACAAAGUUCAUCCGUUACCCCGUGCUAAGUUGAGGAGGAGGAGGAGAGAUGAUGGGUCGCUGUCGGCCCGAACUGUACGCCCCUUAUUGUUAAAACGAAACGACGUUUCUGUGUACCUCGUCGCCUCGUUCCGACGAUACGUUUUCAUUAGACGCCCAGAUAUCAGCGAUACUCGCGGACGAGUUCGUGGCUGGAUCCGCAGAGUUGUCGAUCUCGUUUGACACGAGGCUGAUAGAACGUUCGCUUCGAACCAUUGUCUCGUGGAAUCGUAAAAAGAAAACGAAUGGAUAUAGAUAUGUUUAUGCAGGUUAAUUAAUAACAAGAUAUAUAAAUGAUUCAGAUUAUACAGAAUGCGUUACAUUGGCAGGAAAAAUUUCAAGGAAAUUGCACAAAGUUUAUACAAUUGCCAUUGCAAAUGGGUUAGAAUUGGCGAGCUUUUAUUCUUGGUAAACCCACGGAUAGGAUUAAUGGAAAGUGGUCACGCGAUAAUAUAGAUGAAAGGUUUCUAAAUUAUGUUAAAUAGCUUCAUUAUCACGUGGCAUUUGAUUACAUUAAUACAUGCUACAACGAUGUAUGUCGAAAUGGAAAACAAGAUACAAAAUCAACAUCAAACGAAUCAAAAUUAUUUCGUUAUGCAACGUUCGCACGAAGAAUUAAACGAAAUAAAAAUUUCAAUUAUUUCGCAAUCAACUGUUUUGCAGUCACAGUUGUAAAACAAUAUACAAAGAAUAUAUAGUAUCAGUUUAUAGUUCACUUUUCUGAACGAAGUCGGAACGGAAGCUAAAUUGAUACAACAUCGUCUGACCGAUGCCAAGAAGCGAUUAUCCACGGCGAUCUUUCUCGUGUCUCCAGUACAAAAGUCGGCAACAGCAUGGAGAGACAUGUCCACGAAAACCGUGCGAAAUCGUUUCGAAGCGGGCCCGCGAGCGUGACCAAUCGGCCAAGCGUCCGUCGCCAUAGGAUACGCAAGGCCCUAAA